rnacentral:rRNA from 1 species
AAGUACCUGAAGGAAGAGAAAGAAAUUCGAUUCCGUAAGUAGCGGCGAGCGAACGCGGAUUAGCCCAAACCAAUAAAGUUUUCUUUAUUGGGGUUGUGGACAUAUCAUAACGAAGAGGUAUCGUAAUUGAAGAGGUUUGGAAAGACCCACCACAGAAGGUAAUAGUCCUGUAUGUUAAACGAGAAGACUUUAGAUAUGAUCCAGAGUACCACGGG